UGGGGAAUAUUGCACAAUGGGCGCAAGCCUGAUGCAGCCAUGCCGCGUGUGUGAAGAAGGCCUUCGGGUUGUAAAGCACUUUCAGCGAGGAGGAAGGGUAGUGUGUUAAUAGCACAUUGCAUUGACGUUACUCGCAGAAGAAGCACCGGCUAACUCCGUGCCAGCAGCCGCGGUAAUACGGAGGGUGCAAGCGUUAAUGGGAAUUACGGGGCGUAAAGCGCACGCAGGCGGUUUGUUAAGUCAGAUGUGAAAUCCCCGCGCUUAACGUGGGAACUGCAUUUGAAACUGGCAAGCUAGAGUCUUGUAGAGGGGGGUAGAAUUCCAGGUGUAGCGGUGAAAUGCGUAGAGAUCUGGAGGAAUACCGGUGGCGAAGGCGGCCCCCUGGACAAAGACUGACGCUCAGGUGCGAAAGCGUGGGGAGCAAACA
rnacentral:rRNA from 1 species